rnacentral:rRNA from 1 species
CGGACGGGUGAGUAACGCGUAGGUAUCUAUCCGUGGGUGGGGGGAGUAAACCGUGGGAAACUACGGCUAAUACCGCAUGACACCUGAGGGUCAAAGGCGCGAGUCGCCUGUGGAGGAGCCUGCGUCCGAUUAGCUUGUUGGUGGGGUAAUGGCCUACCAAGGCUGCGAUCGGUAGCUGGUCUGAGAGGAUGAUCAGCCACACUGGGACUGAGACACGGCCCAG